rnacentral:rRNA from 1 species
AUGGGUUUGCCACUCUCAAGUGCUGUCCAAUGAUGGGGUGAAUGGCAACUACAUGUCCUUGCUCUUGGCAGCCUUGGUAUGCAGUAUGUCCUCGCUAUUUUCGCCGGCUUCCGCAACGCCCGUGCCCCGCCGUUGUUCAGAUUUAUCACCUGGCUCGCGUUCCUGGGAAGCGAUGCCAUGGCCAUAUAUGCCCUCGCCACGCUCUUCAACCGGCAAAGGUACCAGCAGCCACACAGCUCUACCUCUGAGCAUGACAGCCAUGGUCUGCAGGUGCUUUGGGCACCUAUCUUGCUGAUGCACCUUGGCGGGCAGGUCGGCAUAACUGCCUAUAAUAUUGAAGAUAACGAGCUAUGGAGGCGGCACAUUGUGACCGCGCUAUCUCAGGUGAGUGUUGUUAAAUUUUCUUUUCCUAUAUAA